UCCGUCUGCUUUAUGUCUUGGCUCUCAAAAAUUGCCCUCUUGCUUGUAGUUUAGCUGUUAACUCGUAAGAUGUGUUUACCCUGCAUCGAUUUCUAAGAGUCCUGGAAAUCAUUGGUCAAUUUAGAUUGUGAACAAGGCAUAUACAUCUAUAGUCAGCCUUCGGCGGUGUUUUUCGUCCUUCUAAUUAUAGUUAAAACAUUCCGUUCUCUAGGGUUGUUGUGUUAGUAAAGAGAAUUGGAUUGCAGGAUAUGCGAUUGUGGCAAAGGUCUAUGUCUCCCUUGAGCCACCUUGCUGGACGGUAGACGCAGACAAACUCAUGAAGUCUUUUACUUCCAAGACAAAAGCUGUAGUAUUGAACAGUUUCACAGUCCUCACAACCCGACUGGAAAAGUUUUCACUCAGGAUGAGCUAGAGAUUAUUGCUGGAGCCUGCAGAACAUGGGAUUCCCUAGCUGGUAUAUGAGCAUAUUAUUUAUGACAACGAGAGGCAUCCUGAAAAUGCAACUAAUGCAGUCAACUCGAAUGAGGAGCAGAGUUGAUAAGUCUGCUCAGAAUUCCGUCCAAUAUACAGUGUGGAGCAUAGAAACCUUGCAAAUGGAAUAGCACGGGGUGGGGUUCCAUCAACAAGAAUUGUAGGGUACAAAGUUUGUUGGUCUGAUGGAUGCAAUGAUGUAGAUAUUCUUGCAGCGUUUAAUGAAGCAAUUGCUGAUGGAGUUGAUAUUAUUUCAAUAUCUGUUGGAGGAGCUGCUAUGGAUUAUUUUCAAGAUUCAAUUGUUAUUGGAUCUUUCCAUGCAAUGAAAAAUCGGAUAUUCGCUUCUCCAUCAGCUGGUAAUAGUGGCAAUGAACCUGGCAGAGUCACCAAUAUUUUGCCUUGGAUUCUUUCAGUUGCUGCUAGCACGUUCAUGACAAAGGUGCAACUAGGCAAUGGCCUGAAACUUGAUCAAAAAUUUGGGUCUUGGUAUCAUCACAUAAUACAAAUAGUAUAUCUAUAAACUGAUACUCCCUCCGUCCCUUUCGAUUGUGAGCAUUUUGGGGGAAGAGUUUGAACCAUAUUUUAAAACUCCUAUAAAAUAUAACUUCAUAUUUUAUUUUAA